rnacentral:rRNA from 1 species
AGUGAACGCUGGCGGUAGGCCUAACACAUGCAAGUCGAACGGCAGCACAGUAAGAGCUUGCUCUUACGGGUGGCGAGUGGCGGACGGGUGAGGAAUACAUCGGAAUCUACUUUUUCGUGGGGGAUAACGUAGGGAAACUUACGCUAAUACCGCAUACGACCUACGGGUGAAAGCAGGGGAUCUUCGGACCUUGCGCGAUUGAAUUAGCCGAUGUCGGAUUAGCUAGUUGGCGGGGUAAAGGCCCACCAAGGCGACGAUCCGUAGCUGGUCUGAGAGGAUGAUCAGCCACACUGGAACUGAGACACGGUCCAGACUCCUACGGGAGGCAGCAGUGGGGAAUAUUGGACAAUGGGCGCAAGCCUGAUCCAGCCACACCGCGUGGGUGAAGAAGGCCUUCGGGUUGUAAAGCCCUUUUGUUGGGAAAGAAAAGCAGCAGGUUAAUACCCCGCUGUUCUGACGGUACCCAAAGAAUAAGCACCGGCUAACUUCGUG